UUUCAGGAGGCAUUCCGGUACAAGCUGGUGAGUGUCAUCAGCCAUAUCGGAUCAGGAACUGACAAUGGUCAUUUUCUAAGUGAAAGACUUCUGGUGGGGGCAGGCGUCACUCGAGACGGCUGGCUCACCUACAAUAACGAAAUUGUGAAAACAAUCUGCAUCCAUCCUCUUCUACGAACGCCAGGUGGAUCCGGCCCUUACCAACAAGGGAUGACAUGUUUCAAGCUAACAUUCAUGAAUGGUUUCUUCUCCACAUAAUGGACACACCAUAUAAGGUUUUAUGAGUUUGUAGACGGGUUAAGGACUACAAAUAUGGCCACUUUGCCAUUUCCGCUAAGGCAAUGACAGACCCAAGGUUUACCUGGGUAAAUUAGAACAUUAAGGCGUGGCUUAUUUACAAGUCCGACCACUUCCAAUAUAAACUUUUCUUACAUGUGUUCGAGAGAUGCUUCAUGAACCACCUCCAGAACAUAAGCUUGUUUACCUUGUCUUUGUUGUAAUAAACCACUUGUUGAAUAUUUA